rnacentral:misc_RNA from 1 species
GAAAAUUGGAAAGUUGUUGGUAAUUCGAGCUUGUUUGGAAGGGUGUGCAGAAGUUGGGUAGUAUGAUGUGUGAGUGUGUAGGCAUUCGGCCUCCUCCGCACUGUCAGAUAGUUUCUUGCGAAAUUCAGUUCCUGCAAGGGAGACGGCGAAAGUGGAUGGCUAUUUAGAGAGUGGCCAAACAAAAGUUCGAGACUCGAACACCUUUUACACUUUUAUUAUCUUCUUCUGCACGUGUACAACGUGAAUUGAUGUCUAUGCCUUUUUCGAAGGGGGCUGUUUUAAAGAGAGAAAAAUAAUAAGGAACUUCUUUGAAAUCUAACGAUAGUCCUUUGCACUGAAUUAAGAAAAACAAAGACAACCAGUUGAAUCAAUGGAAACCUGGAAAGAAAUGAAGAAAAUCGAUAAUUAGAGGAAAUUUUAUUCCAUAAAGUAAACCGAGGAGGCCAAACUUGGAAAUUAAUAUUUUUCUGAUGCUGUUAUUACUUUGGCAGCCCUAAAUUAUGGCUGUAGAGGAAAGGGCUAAAUACAUUUUUGGAGUUGCUGAUAGUAGCAAAGAAAGUGCAGAUAUUUGUGUGGUCGGCGAUCAGAGAACGGAGACAACGACCGAUGACAACAAUCGCAGCAGCAUUUACAACAAACACGGCAGGCAUUUUACGAAGAAUGCCAGGCGAUUCCCUCAUCUGCUGAUGUCUUGCAUUCUCAUUUUUUCCAUCCUAUGUAUACUGUCCACACAAGUACAUGCCAUCAGUUCCCGUCAUCGCCAACACCGAAAACAUCGGCACCAAACUUAUUCCCCAAAGUACAAAGAUCGACGCCCUGCUACGCCUGUGGUUGGGGUUGAUGGAAUUGAUAUUAUUAAAGAAAUUGGGAGGCAGUCUACUAACCAGACUGUGAAAAGAGUGUCUUUGAGGGCAGUGCAGUUAUCUGAAGGUUUCCAUGGCAGAAUAAGUCGAAAAUCAAUGAAAAGUCUUCUGAGGAAAUCUAGCAGAACAUUUUCCUUGUUGUUGUAUGGUGACAUUUCAGCAAGUGAUGGCACUCAAGCCACUUUAAUAAGUGUACAUUCUGAAGGAAGAGAAUUGCCAUUGUUGCAGGUCUUGUUAGACACUUCAAACCAGUCUUUGAUUGUUCGGUACCAAGGUGAAAGAUCUUACCAACGUAUUAAUAUUCAUGGAUUCAUUCCUAUGACAUCUGAAGACAUUUCUGAAAUACAAUCGCAUCCAAAGAGUCCCUGGGACCAGUUGCUGUUUACUUUCGGUCUUAAUGAAUUACGCAUUGUGAUUGACUGCUUCCCAGAGAAAAUUAUUCCUCUCCGUCAGAAAAUGGCUAUUUUUGAUGGCCAUAAAUUAUUUUUCUUUGGCCAUGAUAAAAAGAAGAAAAAUUAUUUAGAGGGUUUGGUUUAUAAGGCAAAACUUUACAAUCAUAUUAUUAAAGGAUUUCCUUGGACUUGUCCCAAAGCCAAUUCUCUUCAAGCCGAUGACAGUGGUUUCAGUUCUCUGACUUUGACUGAACGUGUGGCAACUCUGCAGAGGCAAGUGGAACAGCUGGUUGUUGUGGUUAAUUCUAUUCAGCUCCAGAACACUAAAAUGGCACAGCAUAUUGCACAACUGGAAACCUGUGAAUGCCUCCCAAAAUGUACGUACAAUGGCAAAACGUUUGGUGACAAAGAAACAUGGCAACCAGACACCUGUACUCUAUGUCACUGUCAGGAAGGAAAACCUGAUUGCAAAGUGAGGGCUGAUAUUCCUGGUUGUUCAGAGCCAUGUAGCAGUUCACCUUGUAAACAUGCUGGAUCAUGUGUUGGAAACGAAUCAAAUGGCACGUUCAAAUGUCUAUGUCCAGCACCCUUCAGUGGUACUCUCUGUGAAACCUGGAUCAAUCCUUACGUCUGGCCUGCUGACCCUGGAUACUGCCAUGAAACCUAUGAAGCAUAUUACUUUGAUCGUAAUAAAAACCAAUGCCUUGUAUUUAAUUACACAGGUUGUGGUGGCAAUGUAAACAAUUUCAAAUCAUUGGAAGAAUGUCAGAAGAAUACCCUGUUUGGUGCUUGCUGUAUUUACCAAUAUUCUAUAAAAAGAGAAGACAUAAUAAAGGGAAGGCAAUCUGUCCAGAAAAGCUGUCAGGUUCUGAGUGUGUCUGCUUGCAGAAAAUUUCACAGACAUUCAAAUAAUCCAUAUGAAGAACAAGAAGUUGUUGGAUUCUAUCCAGGAUUAAGCUGUGAGGAUGCCAGAUACCCACUUAAUAAUUCAAAUCCAGUCAUUGUCAAAGAAAAAUUUUGUCAUCUCCUUGGACAUAGUCAAAUUGAAGUUGGCAAAGAAAUAACAAUAGGUUGUAAAAACUGCAUUUGUAUGCCUGGUGGAAAAUUGAAGUGCAAAUGUUCUGACUUAAUUCUUCGCAAAGAAAUUCGAGAUUUCACCUGGGAAGAGAUGGCCAAACUGCAGCAGGCUAUUUCCCAGCUUCGUUUGUCAGGAAUAGACAAUAUCUGGAAUAAAUACAGAGACCUCUACAUGGUUCAUCACAUGCAUUCACAUGGUGGGGCAUUCUAUCUUCCAUGGCAUCGCCAGUUUUUGCAGCUUGUUGAAUUGCAACUGAAAGAGAUAGACUGCCAUGUUACCUUACCAUAUUUUGAUUUCACAACUGAUGCUGCUAACUUCUCAGAAGCCAUCAUCUGGCAGCCCAAUUUCUUUGGAGGAGAUGGAUGGGGAUGGUGUGUUCCAGAUCAUGCUUUUGGUGACAGUAAUGCUUGGAAACCAUGCCUGAAAAGGAAUUUCAGCCAUAUUGUUGAGGUCCCAACAAUGCUUGAUGUUGCUGCUGCCAUCAGUAAAACAGAUUUCAUGGAAAUGAGUGAACUUCUGGAGACAUUUGCAGCGUAUAUCCAUUCCUUUGUUGGUGGUGAUAUGUCAACGACUGCAAUGGCUUACGACCCUCUCUUCUACAUCAUUCAAACCUACAUUGACAGAUUGUAUGCCACCUGGCAGAAAAUGGGCCACAACAAAUUUAAAUUCCCAGCAGCCUAUGGAAAUAUUCCAAUGGUUCCAUUCAAUACGGCACCAUUGGAUGUUCUUGAUCUAGAAAAUGACCUCUGUGUGACUUACAGUCCUCCAGGAAAGGGUCGACCAUGCAACAAAACUGUUCAUUUGCAUGUGUCAGAGUUAAGUGCUGUUGAGAAAAAUCCUAAUAUUCAUGUGAAAAUCAUAAGUAGAUCUGGUUAUGAUCAGUUUGGUUACAAUUCCAGGGGCUUUGACCGUAGAGGCUUUAAUAAAUUUGGAUAUAACUAUCAUGGUGUUAACCGAGAGGGAUUUGAUCGAGAGGGUUAUGACUUGGCAGGAUAUAACCGGUAUGGAUUUGAUCGUGAUGGUUAUGACCGGGAUGGUUUCAAUGUUUCGGGCAGAGAUCGUGAUGACAAGUUGGACACUUCUCUUAUUUUUGAGAAACAAUACUUACCACAUAGGCAUUGUUUAAACAGGAAAGGUCUUACUAAAGAUGGCUUUGACCGAUAUGGUUUUGAUAUCUAUGGAUAUGACUUGGAAAACUGCAAUUAUUCCUUUAAGGGACCAUUUACUACACUGUUGAUGCAUCGUGUUUGGGAAAUUCUUCAUACCCAAUCGCAUGAAUUUCUUGUAACUCUGACUAAAACCUGUCAACCUUUGAAACAACUUCCAAAUGUUUGGUAUAAGCAAUUUUGGAUGGAACCCCAUGAAGCAUUUGUGGUAGAUUUGAUCAAGUCGGAUGUCCCUCUUCAGUCGGAGAGCAACAUUUUGUCUCAAAGAAUUUGUUUCUCAAUUGAACCAUACGUGUCUCCAUGUCCUUGUAAUCGAGUUACGACAUGUACCAUCAAUCUCUGUUUGGAUGCUGAAUGUCCAAGCUAUCCCCAAGCCAAUUGCUUUGUUGAUGUCUGCAACGAAUGCUCGCCAGUUUGGUACUUGAAAGGAAGGAUUGUUGACUGUGAAACGGUCAGAGAUUAUUGUCAUCCAAAUCCAUGUCAACAUGGUGCUACAUGCAUCCAAUCGGUGUGGCCUGCAGAACCUUGGUUAGUUUCCUGUAAAUGUCCACCCGGUUAUGAAGGUGAUCAUUGCCAGUACAAAUCAAAAGAAAUUUGUUACCUUCCUUUACAGAAAGGUUCCUGUUCAAGGAAUGUGAGUCGUUGGUACUUUGACUUCCAUCGAUCAAAAUGUGUCCAGUUUGAUUAUUCUGGUUGUGGGGGCAAUGCUAAUUUAUUUGAGACACUUACAGAUUGCCAGAAAAAAUGUGUUGUUGGUGCUUGUUGUUACCGGCAGCAACUUAAUCCAGCAGUUACCAUUGGCUUUGGUCCUGAUGGCUAUGAUAAAUAUGGGUUUAAUGCAAAAGGUUACAACCAGUUAAGGAAAAUAUUCAAUGCAAAAACUGGGAUGAAGAUGGGAAUCAACAGAUUCAAGAAGAAUGGCUAUGAUUGGCAUGGUUAUGACAAAAAUGGAUUCAACUCUGUUGGUUAUGAUAGAUUAGGCUACAAUUCUGAAGGUUACGAUCCGUUCGGAUUCAACAUGACGGGAUAUAGCAGAGAAGGUGAGUUUGAUGGCAUGAUCGACUAUGAUGAUGAUGGCUACGAUGAAGAAGGUUACAACAGGGCAGGGUUCAAUUGUGAAGGUGUUAACCGAGAUGGUUUGGAUAUUUAUGGACGUCAUGCUGGCUUCAAGUAUACUUGCAUGAGAACCACAAGGAAAAGGUGUCAACAUUUGGAAACCGAAGAUGAUGUUCAAAUUGUUCGUUUUUCUCCAGGAAAAAAAUGUGAAGAUGUCAGUUGCAAGCCAAAUUGUAUGUGUUGGUUUAAUAAUCAGUUCCAUAGGAUUUGGGACGAUUUCAAUGUAGGCUGUGAGAAAUUUCAGUGUCACUUGGGAGGGUUUUCAGAAAUGAAUUCUUGUCAAAAACAUUUACAACGCAAAGAGAUUCGUGACAUGAGUUUUGAUGAAAUAAAGCGUUACCAACUUGUCAUCCAGAAUCUACAGCAUGAAAAAAGAAAUGGUAAAUCUGUGUGGUUUGAAUUUGCUGAAAUGUAUUCAGAAUAUAUUCCUCAAGCUUCAGGAAAUCCUUUAUUUUUGCCAUGGCAUCGCUACUUUUUGUUUAUGGUUGAAAAGUUGAUGCAAGAUGUUGAAUGUGGUGUUGUGAUCCCAUAUUAUGAUUGGACCCUUGAUAUUGGUGUCUUGAAUAAAUCGGUUAUUUGGUCAUCAAAAUUUUUUGGUGGUAAUGGUGAAAAUGGAACAGACUGUGUCAGAUAUCAUCCGUUUAAGUCUUAUCAUCCACCAUAUUGGGCACCUUGUCUCCGUAGACACUUCAAUUCUUCAGUACAUCUUCCAGACGCAAUUCAUGUUUACUUGGCUUUACAGGAAAGUACCUUUAGUGAUUUCUCAGCUUACAUGGAAUCAAUGCUGCAUCUUUUCCAGAUGUGGGUUGGAGGCCACAUGGACUCACCUCUCAGUGCUUACGACCCCCUUUUCUAUUCACAUGUAGCUUUUAUUGAUAAACUCUGGGAUGAUUGGCAGAGGAGUCAUAAAAAAGGUUUGCUGCGAUUUCCUCCUAAUUUUCGAUAUGUUCCUAUGGAACCUUUCAAAGUUACUCCUGAUGAUGUAUUAGAUUGCAAAAAACAAAUCUGUAUAACCUAUCUGAAUUUACCAUUUGGAUCACCAUGUAACCAGACCAAAAUAAAGACCUAUGGAUAUGAUAGUGAUAGUUAUGAUCGUCAUGGCUUUGAUAAAAAUGGUUAUGAUAAAGAUGGAUUUGAUGUACAUGGAAUAAACAUUGAUGGCUAUAUUGAUCUCAGAGGAAUAUAUAAUAAUGAGGGAUUUGACAAAGAAGGCUUUUCUCGACAAGGUUUUGAUAGUAUGGGCUACGACAGAGAUCUUUUUUUCAAAGAUGGUUACAAUUCUGACGGCUUUGAUGUUGCUGGCUAUGACAGAUCUGGUCAUAACAGAUAUGGUUUCAGUAGAAUCAAAACGAAUGUCUUCAGUGAACAUGUCUCUACAUUCAGAAAGAAUGAGUUCAAUGAACUUGGAUUAAAUAACUUGGGUUUUAAUAACAAAGGGUUUGACAUUUUUGGUUUUGACAAGGAUGGAUUCAAUCGCUUUGGCUGCAAUUACUAUUUCAAUGGCCCGUUUUAUAUAAUCAUAUACCAGUCACUUAAAAAUAAACUUAGCGAGAUAAAAUCCAUGCAUUCUUUGAUAAAUAUUCCAAGGUUGUGUUCUGCAGUGUCACAGCUUCCUCAGUGGAUGUAUAAAGUUUAUUGGUUGAACCGGCAAAAAAACAUUCCAGAAGUUUUGGCAAUAAUGGCUCUGGACAGACUGAAAAAUCCUUAUUCAUUUGAUGAUGUCUUUGACAAAAUUUGGGUUCCUCCUGUUCCUGAUCCGAGGUUUUGUUUGGAAACAAACUUCUUUUCAAAAUGUCCCCUGGGUCAUGCUCCUGUCAAAUGUUCAUCAGAUUUGUGCUUUGAUACAAUUUGUCCUGGUAUAUCUGGUGCCAUCUGCCGAGUGAACUAUUGUGGGACCUGUUCUGUUGAAUGGUAUGAUGCUCACUCUGGUGAUGUUGUAGAAUGCCAAGGUUGUAAAGAUGAACACAAUCGACAUAGACCUGAUAAAACAUCCUGGAUCAACUCUGAGUGCAAUAAUUGUACCUGUAAGUCAGAUUUUAUUGACUGUCAGCCUGUGCUCUGCCCUGAGGUUUCAUGUCUCUUCCCUGCCACAGCUACAGGGGAAUGCUGUCCAAGUUGUAAAGUUGGCUGUAAUUAUGAUGAGAAUUUCCAUGCCUUGAAUAGUUCCUUCACUCCUUCCACGGACCCCUGUCAAACAUGUUCUUGUCAGAAAGGCAAUGUGUUCUGUGAGGAAAAAGUGUGUACUUCUCUUGAUUCUUGUCACACACCUGUUGUUCUGGCUAACGAAUGCUGUCCUACUUGUAUGGACUGUGGUCAACAUCCCAAUGGCUCUCAAUGGAUGGAAGGCCACUGCCAACAUUGUGUUUGUUUGAAUGGCACUGCCAAAUGUGAGCAAAAGGUGUGUCCAUCAAUUGAGUGUAAAUACCCGGUACUUCCUGAUGGAGAAUGUUGUCCUCGUUGUCAUGACUGCCUGGUUGAUGAGAAAAUAGUAUUGAACGAUGAUGUCUUCACACUUUCUGGAAAUGGAUGCCAAGAAUGUUACUGUAGCCAAGGGGAUAUACUGUGUAAAACAGUCGACUCCUGUGAUAAACUUGAUUGCAGGAAUGUCAUAACACCAAAAGGAAAAUGCUGUCCUCAGUGCAAAGGUUGCAAAGAAGACCACAUGAGUUACAGCUAUGGAGAUAUUGUACCAAGCAACAAUACCUGUACGAAUUGCAUGUGUAUUGAAGGUAUUGUGCUCUGCAGGGAGAAGCAAUGUCCCAAACUGGAGUGUCCACGUAGCAGAAAUAUUACAGGACAGUGUUGUCCCCAGUGUGAACCCUUCUGCGAAUUCAAAGGUACAGUAUUCAGUGAAGGAGAAACAGUUAAGGACUCCAACGAUCCUUGUUUACAGUGCAGUUGUCAAGUGAAAGAAGAAAUCAAUUCUGUGGGAGAACAUCAUUUAGUCCCCAGCAUACAAUGUUUGUACAUAAAAGACCAGUGCAAACCUACCGAAUGUAGUCACCCUGCAAGGAUGCCAGAUCAAUGUUGUCCUGUCUGUGAAAACUGUUAUUAUUUAAGGAGGAUCUUUUACAAUAAUCAAAGCUUUACAUUACCUGAUGGUGACCCUUGCAAAGUGUGUACAUGUAAGGAUGGAAAAGUUUCAUGUAAAAGAAAGCAAUGUCCGUUUUUAAAUUGUUCAAAUCCUAUGCAACUUCCAAACCAGUGUUGUCCAGUCUGUGAAAGUGGUUGUCAUUCGGAAAGAGGUUCUUAUUAUUUAGAAGGACAAAACUUCGAUGACCCAGAAGAUGACUGUCGCACAUGCAUCUGUUUAAACAGACAGAUUAUUUGUAGAGUUAAAGAAUGCCCUCCAAUCUCAUGUUCUCACCCAGCUCGAGAAACUAACCGCUGCUGUCCAACUUGUGAUUUUUGUGAAUAUGACCGGAGAAUCUUCCGAGACAAGCAAAGAUUCUUUGACCCUCGACUUCCAACAAGAACAUGUGAAUGUUUGGCUGGUUCCGUUGUCUGUGAUGCAGAUGGUUCAACUUGUUCAUAUGAAGGGAAAACUUACAAAGAAGCCGAGGUUUUCUUAAGCCAUAACGAAUGUGAAGAAUGUAUCUGUCAAAACUCCCAAGUCACCUGUCAAUCAGUCUCUUGUCCUGAUUUGCAAUGUCAGCAUCCGGCAAACACUGAUGGCUGCUGUCCUUCCUGUUACAAUUGCACAUUCUCUGGCAACAACUUCCAAAAUAAAGAAGUCUUUCAGAACCCACAAGACACUUGCAGUACUUGCCAAUGCCAAGAGGGCACAGUUGUAUGUAAUAAGAAAUUCUGUCCAACUUUGCACUGCACUCAUCCCAACCAAGAGCCUGGAGAAUGCUGUCAGUCAUGCCAAAACUGCAACUACUUUUCCCAGACCUAUAGGGAUAGCAAAGUAUUUGCCAACCCAGAGAAUCCUUGUGAAACUUGUCACUGUGAGAAAGGAUCAGUGAGAUGUCAGACAAGUCAGUGUCCCCCAGUCUCAUGUACUCAUCCUUCAAAACAAAACACUUGUUGUCCUAAAUGUGCCAGUUGUGAUUUUGAUGGGCAUGAGAUUCAGGACAGGCAAAAGUUUGCCCAUCCGGCUGACGAGUGUCAAAUUUGUGAAUGCAUGGAAGGCAGUGUGAUAUGUACUCAGAAAGAAUGUCAGCCAGUCACCUGUAAUAACCCAGUUAUUAAUUCUUGCUGCCCAGUUUGUGCUGACUGUCUUUAUGAAGGGAGAGCUUUAAGAAACCAACAGAGGUUUGCUCACGAAACGGACAGUUGUCAAAUAUGCCAAUGUCUUGAUGGAAAUAUUCACUGCACUGUUGAGAAAUGUCCUGAUGUGGAAUGUACUCAUCCUGCUAAGAAACACUGUUGCAAGGAAUGCCACGACUGUUCAUAUAAUGGAACUGAAUAUGGUAACAACAUGGUCUUCCGAGAUCCAAUCAACCCGUGUCAGAGAUGUAUCUGUAAAGAUGGAAACAUUAAUUGUCAGGAAAGGCAAUGUCCACAAGUUCAGUGUCAGAACCCUAAUAUUAUUGACUGCUGUCCUGUUUGUGAGGAUUGUGUCUAUAAUAAUCAGGUCAUUAAAAGUGGAAGGACUAUUCCGCACGAACAAGAUGAAUGCCAGGUGUGUACCUGCCAAUCAGGCGAUCUCCAUUGUACCAGAAAGGGUUGCAAAGAAGUGACUUGCUCUCAUCCUGUGUCUCGAAACUGCUGCCAGGAAUGCUCUGACUGUAAAUGGAAUGCAACAUAUGUGGUCAGCAAUGGUGGUCAAGUUUUGGACGAAUUACAAUGCAAAAUCUGUGAAUGCCAUAAUGGUGAUUUGUAUUGCGUUGCAAAAGACUGCCCUGUAACAAGAUGUUCACAUCCAGUCAAACAGAAAUGUUGUUCUGUGUGUGAUGACUGCUUUGUAAAUGGUGAGAUAAUACCAAAUGGGAAACAACAACAAAUUGGAGAGGAUAAUCCGUGUCGUGUUUGCAAAUGUCAGAAUGGUUCUUUUGAAUGCCACUCAAAAUCCUGCCCUCAACUGAGCACUUGCACCAAUCCUGUGAUCCGUGACUGUUGUCCGGAGUGCUUUAACUGCAUGUAUGGAGGUCAGGAAUGGCUGAAUCUUAGUAAUUUUACUGAUCCUCAAGAUAUGUGUGGAGAGUGUUUAUGUGAGGAUGGCAAUGUUAGUUGCCACAGGAUGUCAUGUGCCCAGCCGGACUGUGAUAACCCAAUAAGAGUGGCUGGACAGUGUUGCCCUGCUUGCCCAGAUGCUUGUGAAUAUAAUGGACAAGUUUAUGAAAAUGGUGAAAACUUUGCUGAUGCUUCAGACCAGUGUAGAGAAUGUGCCUGUCUUGCUGGCCAUGUCAACUGUUCCUCACUACAGUGCAAUCCUGUGACCUGCACUCAUCCUUCCACUGAUAAAUGUUGUGAUGUGUGUUAUGACUGUGUCUAUGAAGGCAACUCCAUAUCCAAUGGCCACAGCUUUAAGAAAGAUGCAUGCCAGACAUGUACAUGCAGGGAUGGUAAUGUGAUUUGUAUUAAAGAAAGCUGCCCUCCACUUAAUUGUCCCUUGGCGGAAAGAUUACCAGGACAAUGUUGUGCUCAGUGUCAAGAAUGUACUUAUAAAGACCGUUCUUACAAGAAUGGAGCAAUGUGGUUCUCAGAUGACGACCCCUGCACCUCUUGUAUCUGCCAUGAUGGUUCCGUUACAUGCUUGGAACUCCAGUGUAUCGUGCCAUGUUCCAAUUACGUUGAAGAACCAGAUCAAUGCUGUCCUGUGUGUCCAAGCUGCACCCAUCAGGGCAUUACUUACCAAGAAGGAGCCCAGUUCAAUUUGAAUAGCGACCCCUGUGAACCUUGCAUUUGUGAGAAUGGAAAAUUGAAAUGUGCUCGACUAUCCUGUCCAGACAUGACAAUGUGUCCUGAAUUUCUGUUAGUUGACCCACAACCAGGGUUUUGCUGUCCAACAUGUUCUGGCUUUUCUACACAGUGUACUGCAGAACAUGUUGGUGAAAUAACUCAACCAAAGCCAGAAGAUCUAUGUCUCCAUUGCAAAUGCGAGGAAUCCCUGAGUUGGGUUUGUUUCACGGAUAUCUGUCCAGUGCCAACAUGUCCACUUUCUCUUCAAAAGCGAGUUGAAGGAACCUGCUGUGCCAUCUGUCCUGCUUGUUACUAUGAUUUAGAAGACAAAUUUUAUGAAGAUGGUGAAACCUGGAAAGAUGUUGACAAUCCGUGUGUCAUAUGUCAAUGUAUUGAACAAAGAAUCCAAUGCAAUAUGCAGGAAUGUCCAACAGUAAAUUGCAGUUUUGGAGAAGAGAAGACAAGAGUGGACGGCCAAUGUUGCGAAACUUGUAUUCCAGCCAAUACUACAGCUUGUUUUCACAAUGGUCAGACAAGACGAAAUGGAGAAAUAUGGUCUGUAGAUGAAUGCACAAAGUGUGCAUGUGUAGAAGGCCGACCCGCUUGUAAUACUCAAACAUGUCCACUAUCUGCAAAUUGUGAUACUGAAGAAGAACCUUUCGUGAGACCUGGAUAUUGCUGUCCCACAUGUCUAGCCAGUAGAACCUUCCACUUGCAUUCUCUAUGGAAAUAAUCAUUACAGAACAUUCGAUGGUGCCAACAUUCAUUUCCAAGGAGCAUGUAAUUAUAUUAUGGCAACAAAUUGUGUCAACAAUGACUUUAUGGUGGAGGUUCAGCAUGGAAGUUCCUAUGGAACAUCACCUCAGAAUCUCACUGUCAGAUUUGCUGGGUUGGAAAUUAAUUUAAUACCAAAUAAUGGCAUCACU